AUGCGUAUGAUGCAGAUCUGCACGGCUCUCUGGAAAGGGCAGUGCGGGCACCUGUCACCGGAGGAGAAAAGGCGGGGGACGUCGUCCAGGCCCGGGUCACCCCUUCCUCCCCGAUCCUUACUGAGGGGUGCCUGGAGCUCACAGCCGCUGUCCCAGACGCGGUCUUUUCUCUCCUGCAAAAGCGCAGCCGCGUGCGGGUUGGUGCCUUCCCCUCGGGGCUCCUCCUGGAAGCCGAGGCGAGGCCGCACCCCGGGGCUCCCCCGCGUGGCCCCCCCAGCGGCUUGGGCGCGGGGCUCCUCCCCGGGCAGCGCCGGGCUCCGCAAGGCCCCACCUGGAGCGGGAGAAGGCGGGCGGCCAGGAGCCGGGUGGGGUGGGCAGCCCCGCGGGGCGGGCCGCAGCUGGAGCUCCNNNNNNNNNNNNNNNNNNNNNNNNNNNNNNNNNNNNNNNNNNNNNNNNNNNNNNNNNNNNNNNNNNNGCCCGCGCCCCCGCCCGCGCGGACACUCCAGGCCUUGGCUGCAUCCUCCGGCCGCCAGGACUCCCGUCUGCGUUCCUCCGCGGUUGCAGGGAUGUGCGCUCCACCCCGAAGUUCCGAAGAGCUCACUUCAGCGGAUGAUGAUGGUUUUUGCAGGAGGGACCCCGAUGGUUUUCCCGUUUCUGUUUCCGUCGUCUGUAGGCAAAGCCGCACUUCACGGAGAGCAGAAGAAUCUUCAAGGAGGGAAGAAUGACAAGUCCCUGCUCCUGAUAUCCUAUCUUCUGCAGGUCACUUCGCUCUGCUCUGGGAGGUCCCCUUCCUUCGGGCACAGGGUGCACAGGACCGAGAUGGGCUGCACCAGCCACACGCAGAACUUGUCUUCCGGAGUCAACUCCAGCUCUUCUGUUUUUGUAAACCGUAUGAGAUCAGUGGCACCAGUUUUCAGCUGGUGUUUCAGAAAAGACCUUGUGAAGGUCAAUCAAUUGAACUCAAAUCCUGGCAGGCAUUUCACAACACAAAUUCACACCCUGGUCUCACACAUCUUUGACCCUGCACCCCAGGAAUCAAAACCCAGGAACCGUGUAGUCACAUGAGUGAGCUCUCUCAGGAGUUGGCAAAAGAUGUCUGGAUAGAACUUACUCAUUCAGCACAAGGGGGGGGGGGCAGUGCUGAUGCCCCAUAAUGCUUUCGGGGGACCCAUAAUAAUGUCUUACUGUUUCUUAAAACCAGAAGGGAAAAAUGAACUUUUAGGUCAGAGAAGAUGUUUCAAUAGAUAAUAUUAACAUAUUUGUCUUUUUAUCAACAGCUCAUAAAAUAUAAUUUUUUUUUUUUAAUGGAGGAAGAGUCUAUGAAGGUAAAAGAGCGCAGGGUUCUGGGUAUGUUCAGGGUUAGUGACUAAUAAUAUAAUAAUAAAGUUACACAUUUAUUGUUUAUGAACUGUAGA
rnacentral:lncRNA from 1 species